rnacentral:rRNA from 1 species
UGUAUAAUGGGUCAGCGACUUAUAUUCUGUAGCAAGGUUAACCGAAUAGGGGAGCCGAAGGGAAACCGAGUCUUAACUGGGCGUUAAGUUGCAGGGUAUAGACCCGAAACCCGGUGAUCUAGCCAUGGGCAGGUUGAAGGUUGGGUAACACUAACUGGAGGACCGAACCGACUAAUGUUGAAAAAUUAGCGGAUGACUUGUGGCUGGGGGUGAAAGGCCAAUCAAACCGGGAGAUAGCUGGUUCUCCCCGAAAGCUAUUUAGGUAGCGCCUCGUGAAUUCAUCUCCGGGGGUAGAGCACUGUUUCGGCAAGGGGGUCAUCCCGACUUACCAACCCGAUGCAAACUGCGAAUACCGGAGAAUGUUAUCACGGGAGACACACGGCGGGUGCUAACGUCCGUCGUGAAGAGGGAAACAACCCAGACCGCCAGCUAAGGUCCCAAAGUCAUGGUUAAGUGGGAAACGAUGUGGGAAGGCCCAGACAGCCAGGAUGUUGGCUUAGAAGCAGCCAUCAUUUAAAGAAAGCGUAAUAGCUCACUGGUCGAGUCGGCCUGCGCGGAAGAUGUAACGGGGCUAAACCAUGCACCGAAGCUGCGGCAGCGACGCUUAUGCGUUGUUGGGUAGGGGAGCGUUC